AAAUUACUAGCAAGAAAGAAGCUACAACCAGCUAGCUAGUAGUAAGAUUUCAUUAAUUUGGCAUUGCAGGAGAUUCUGAAAAAAAACACUAAAAAAGAAGUCCUUUUGCAGCUAGUUUGGGAUGCAAAAGUUAGUUUAAAGAAGAUUAUAGUACUAAUUUACUGAUAGAUCCAACAGGUAUACCAAAUCGAUCAAAGAAAAAAGCAUGCCUGCACAGAAUCAACCAAGAUCUAUUGCCUGGCAGGGGGCGGCCAAUGGGGAAUCGCCAAAUGAUCCACCCCUUUGCAGCGACGAGAAAGGUGGCUCCGGAUCCUCCACGUAAGAAUCC
rnacentral:lncRNA from 1 species